rnacentral:lncRNA from 1 species
CGGGAUAAGGCCAGGUAAGCUUCUUCUUCCCCGAUUUUGAUGUAAAAACAGUUUGCAAGGAAAAGAAAGCAAGAAAAACAAAAAAAAGAGAAGAAAAGCGAAAUGGAAAAGAAUAAAAAAACAACCUUCUAGGCCUUCAAUCUGAUUUUUUUAUUGAUAUCAAUUACUCUUGUACGUUCUGCUAUUGUGUAUGUCCAAAAAUCGGGAAAAAAAAGAUCCCUUUACACUUGAUCUAAUUUGGUUUUUAUAGCUAAUUUUUCAACCUCUUUUACUUGUUUGCAGGUACGUGCUAGGUGUGGACUCUGACGUGGAGGUAGAGUGGUGCACGAUGCGGAGAGUCGCAUGACCUGCGGUGCUUGGAGACUGCCUCAGUUGCAAAUGAUGGCUCCUAGAGUUUUUUACAAUCUGUUUGUGUUUUGGGCCGUUUGGGCCAUGUUUGUAAAUGGGUACUUAGGUUUAGGUCUGCUCUUGUUGGGUCUUAGUUUCUAGUGGUUUGGGCCGGGUAAAAAUUGAGUCCAACAACUGCCCCUCUUUGCUCAUUGCCGUGUAACGGGGAUGGAGCAAAGACUUCAAAUGGGUCAAUUUUUCCUGGCCUUCGUGAUGCUCCUCUUCUUUAAGUAGUCUUACUGCAUCUUCAAGAAGAUAAUGUUCGUAACUUUAACUUGCCCCACUGUAACUUCAGGGAGAUAAGGUCAAUGGCUAAGAUCCAUUCCAUAGCCAAUAUAUGGAGAUAGGACUCGCCAUUUCUGAUAUGCUCCAUAGCCGAUACAUGGAGAUAAGAUCCGUAAUUUUUAGUCUGUUUCCUGUAACUUCAGGAAGAUAAGACUAGUAUUUUCAACCUGCUCUCUUGCUGCCCCAGAAAGAUAAGGUCGGUGGUUAAAAUCUGCUCCAUAGCUGAUAUAUGGAGAUAAGAUCUGUAAUUUUUAGUCUGCUUCCUGCAACUUCAGGAAGAUAAGACUUCUAUGUUCAACCUGCUCUCUUGCUACCUCAGAGAGAUAAGACUAGUGGUUAAAAUCUGCUCCAUAGCCAAUACAUGAGGAUAAGACUCACCAUUUUUUAUCUACUUCAUAGCCAAUACAUGGAUAUAAGAUCUGUAACUUUUCAGCCUACUUCCUGCAAUUUUAGGAAGAUAAGACUAGUGGCUAAAAUCUGCUCCAUAGCCGUUACAUGGAGAUAAGAUCUGUAACUUUUCAGUCUGCUUCCUACAACUUCAGGAAGACAAGACUAGUAGCUGAGAUCUGCUCCAUAGCUGAUACAUGGAGAUAAAGUCUGUAAUUUUCAGUCUGCUUCCUACAAUUUCAAGAAGAUAAGACUUGCUAUCUUCAGUCUGCUCCACUGCAACUUCAGGGAGAUAAGACUUGUCAUUUUUGAUCUACUCCAUAGCCGAUACAUGGAGAUAAGAUCUGUAAAUUUUCAGUCUGCUUCCUGCUGCUUCUUGCAACUUCAGGAAGAUGAGACUUGUCAUUUUCGAUCUGCUCCAUAGCCGAUAUAUGGAGAUAAGAUCUGUAAAUUUUCAGUCUGCUUCCUGCAACUUUAGGAAGAUAAGACUUGUAAUCUUCGACGAUACACUACACUGUCCUCUGAGGAACAUAUUCUGUAAAAUUGAUUUCAUGUAUGUAUGCUUUUACCGAAUAGUUAGGAUGCUAUGAUCGAAAUGAAUCAAACGCUCCUAACUAGAUGUGAUGCUUAUGUCAAAUAGUUAAGAUGCUAUGAUCAACAUGAAUCACGUGCUCCUAACUAGAUGUACUAUGAAUGACAUUGGUAUGAAUGCUGAAUGUCAUGAGAAAUGUCUUCUUUUUCAUUUUUCUCUUUUUUUUCCUUAUGGUUUAAGCUGUUAUUGCUCGCCGUUUGCUCUUGACGUAUUUCUUCUCGUUUAACUGACACAUAUCUGAAGCAAUAGUCUUCAAUUAAACUUCUUACCUCUCAAGUAACUCUGACCCUUAAGCUUGGUGGGUCUGAAUAAUUGACCUAUUUCGGGUUCUUGCACUACUUAGAAGCUUCUAGAGUAAUAUGCAGAACCCCUUUUGUGAAAAUAUUAUCAGUCUAUUAACCAAUUAUUUCAACAAAAAAUGCUUGAAAAAGACUAUCAGAAUGAAUAAGAUGAAACUUUAUUGAGAGCGAAACCUGAGGUAAAAUAUUAAUCAAGACAACAAAUUUUACAAAGGUACAAAAGAUAUAUGAGAUAGAAAAUUGGUGCCCUAGAUAUCGCAGCGUGAGCUCAUCUAUUCAGACUGUUCGAAAACCCUUGGAGGCCAGAUGUGUGUUUAGAAGGCCCAAGAUAUUUUGUUGAUGCUUCCAAGAUGUAAUGCUCCUCUUUCUUGUUAAUUCUAGUAGAAACAAGGUCGCAACAUGCCCCAUCUCUGAUCACAUUUUGAAUUGCCUUUUUCAGGUUUUCAACUCAAAACCCAUUGGUUUCAAAGCGCUCUUUGCGGGUUUUCACCUUGGCCUCUCCCUUUUUUUUCAGAGCACCCCUUUGCGGGUUUUCACUUUGGCAUCGUCUUUUUCAAGUGAAGUAUUUCUUGACCGAAUCUGAAUUUAUCGGGUUGGAGAAGCUUUUGCCGUCCAUUUUUGCUACUAUCAGUGCCCCUCCAGAAAAAACCUUUUUCACUACAUAAGGUCCUUCCCCAUUUGGCAUCCAUUUCCCCCUGAAAUCCUUUUGCAUAGGGAGAAUCUUUUUCAAUACCAAGUCCCCUUUCUGGAAUACUCUUGGGCAAACUUUCUUGUUGUAAGCUUGCAUCAUUCGCUUCUGGUACAUUUGACCACGACGGAUAACCUUCAGCCUCUUUUCCUCAAUCAAGUUUAGCUGGUCAUACCGAGAUUGAACCCAUUCUGCUUCAUCUAACUUCACUUCAGAUAAAAUCUGGAGAGAAAAAAUCUCGACUUCAAUGGGCAAGGCUGCCUCUAUCCCAUAAACCAACGAGAAAGGUGUUGCCCCAGUAGAAGUUCUGAUCGACGUACGAUAGGCAUAGAGAGCAAAUAGUAGCUCUUUAUGCCAAUCAUUGUAGGUCUCAACCACUUUCCCCACAAUCUUCUUUAUAUUUUUAUUAGCUGCCUCAACUACUCCAUUCAUUUUUAGGCGAUAUGGUGACGAGUUGUGGCGUUUAAUUUUGAAUUGACUGCAGACCUCCACUAUUACGCUGUUAUUUAAAUUUAACGCAUUAUCAGAUAUGAUACUUUCCGGCAUGCCAUAUCGACAUAUGAUUUCCUUCUUUAAGAACUUGCUGACUGCCAACUUCAUGACGUUUGCGUAUGAAGCAGCCUCUACCCACUUGGUGAAAUAAUCAAUGACCACAAAGAUAAAGCGAUGUCUAUUGGAAGCCUUUGGCGAAAUCGGCCCAAUGACAUCCAUGCCCCACAUUGAGAAAGGCCAUGGGGAAGUCAUGACAUGAAGAGGCGAAUGAGGCACAUGGAUCUUAUCACCACAAAUUUGCCACUUAUGGCAUUCUUGGCAUAAUUGAUGCAAUCUCCUUCUAUUGUAGACCAAUAAUACCCGAAUCUCAUGAUUUUCCUGGCCAUUGUGAACCCAUUGGCAUGCGUCCCGUGACACAUUCGUAAACUUCUUCCAGGAUUUUCUUUGCUUCAACAGCGUUAACACAUCUUAGUAGCACUUGGUCUUUCCUUCUUUUAUACAUGAUUUCACCGUCGAAGACAUAGUUAUCAGCCAGCCUCCUUAAUGUUCUUUUAUCAUUUUCGGUUACCUAAUCAGGAUAUACACGAUUCUUCACAUAUCGUAGAAUAUCCUGAUACCAAGGAUGAUCGUCCCUCUUUUCCUCUUCGCUGAUAUUGCAGCAAUGAGCUGGAGCAUUACAAAUACUCAUCUGGAUCGGCUUCAUACCCUCUUGUUUAUUUACUCUAAUCAUGGAAGCUAACGUAACCAAGGCAUCAACCAUCUGAUUUUCGUCACGCGGGAGAUAGUGGAAAGUAAUAUCAUCAAACUCUUUUAUUAAAUCUAGAACCAGCUCUUGGUAAUUAAUCAACUUUAAGUCUCUUGUUUCCCAUUCACCCCUGAGCUGAUAGAUUACUAGUGCAGAAUCCCCAUACACCUCUAACACCUUGAUUUUGCGCUCUACGGCCGCACGGAUGCCCAUAAUACAUGCUUCAUAUUCUGCCAUGUUAUUUGUAUAAUCAAAAUCCAAUUUGCAAGUGAACGAAUAGUGAUCUCUAUUUGGGGUGCCCUAAUUCCAUUGCCAACGGCAUUUGACACUCCGUCAAAAUUAAGUUUCCAAGGACAAUCUUUUGGAGUGUCUUCUUGAGUGGCUGCCACAUACAUUAAAUAUUCAUUGGGAAAAUCAGAGUUCAAGGGCUCGUAAUCUUCUAAAGCUCUACUGGCUAGAAAAUUUGCUAUCGCACUCCCUUUUACGGCCUUUUGGCUCACGUAAAUUAUGUUGAAUUCGAAAAGCAAAAUUUGCCAUCGGGCCAUCCUUCCAUUCAGAGCAGCUGACUCCAUCAUGAACUUAAGAGGAUCUAAUUUUGAGAUUAACCAAAUCGUAUGGUACAACAUGUACUGCCUUAAUCUCCGAGUUGUCCAGACCAAAGCACAACAUAGCUUCUCAAUCGACAGAUAUCUCAUCUCACACUCAGUGAAUUUCUUACAGAGUUAGUAUAUCGCCUUUUCUUUCUUUCCUGUCUCAUCAUGUUGGCCCACACACAUCCCAUUGAGUGGUCAAAUACUGUCAAAUACAAUAUUAAUUGUCUACCCGGGUUGGGUAGUGUCAACACCGGGGGAUUGGACAAAUAUUGUUUAACUCUAUCAAAUGUCUUGUGGCACUCUUUAUCCCACACACCUGGGUUAUGUUUCUUGAGAAGACGAAAUAUGGGGUCGCAUUUCUCAGUUAGUUGCGACAUAAACUGGACGAUGUAAUUUAGUCUUCCCAGAAAACCUCGAACUUCCUUCUGAGUGUAUGACGGAGGCAAUUGCUGUAUAGCCUUGACUUUUUCGGGGUCAACCUCAAUUCCUUUUUCACUGACAACGAAACCGAGCAGCUUUCCUGAUCUAGCUCCAAAAGUACAUUUUGUUGGAUUGAGUUUUAUCUGGAACUUUCUCAGUCUCAAGAACAAUUUCUUCAAAACCUGUAUGUGCUCUUUUUCUGUUCGGGAUUUUGCGAUCAUACCGUCCACGUAAACCUCAAUCUCGUUGUGCAUCAUGUCAUGAAAUAGGGUUACCAUGGCUUUUUAAUAUGUUGCUCCCGUAUUUUUUAACCUGAAUGGCAUCAUCUUAUAGUAAAAUGUUCCCCACAAUGUUAUGAAUGUGGUCUUUUCCAUGUCUGUAGGAUGCAUCUUUAUCUGGUUGUAUCCAGAAAAACCAUCCAUCAAGGAGAAUAAAGAGUAACCUGCCGUGUUAUCCACUAGCGUGUCAAUGUGGGGCAACGGUAAAUUGUCCUUUGGGCUGGCCUUGUUUAGGUCUCUGUAAUCCACACACAUCCCAACUUUUCCAUCCUUCUUAGGGACAAGGACAACAUUGGCAACCCAUUCUGAGUAAUUCACCACUUGCAAAAAAUCAGCGUCGAAUUGCUUCUUGACCUCUUCCUUUAUUUUUACUACAACAUCGGGUCUUAUCCUUCGAAGCUUUUAUUGAACAGGCCUGUACUCCUCUUUUAUGGGGACACGAUGUACCGCAAUGUUGGCGUUUAACCUAGGUAUGUCCUGAUACGACCACGCGAAGACAUCUUUAAACUCUUGUAGCAGUUUAAUGAGGUCUCGUCUUACUUCCUCAGUUAUUCAAGUUCCAGUUUUCACUUAUUUCCCUUCUUCUAAAGUCACAUUCUCGGUCGUCUCUUUAUGGGGUAGAAUUUGCUUCUCUUCCCGUUCUACCAUCUUUAACAAAUCAAGAGAUAACCCACAUUCUUCGUCAUCUUCAAAAUCUUGAGAUCCCUCUAAGCACAUAUCUGGCUCGAAAAGAGAUUUUGAGUCUGUAACAGUGUUGCUCAUAACAUCAAUAUCUGGAGACCUAUUACAACACAAAAAAAUAUCUAGAGAAUGAAUCUAAGGGUGGCUUAUUUGUAUGGCAUGAUUAUGAAUAUGAUGAGAAUAUGAACGAGGAUUUGGGUAAGAUGAGAUAUGAAAAAUGCAUUUCUUAUUAAAAAUAAAAGGUGUUUGAACAAGAGCCUACUUCAUAAAAUAUUCUUAUUGUUUCUAGGCUUAAAACAAUAAGUGUGUUCUGAAUAUUACUCUGUAUUAGCUUUAAAACCUACAGGAAUUUCCUUCACAGUCCAAUUAUUCAGGACACUUCCAAGCUCAUAAGGGCGGAUGCCUGAUAAGUUUCUUUUCAUCGCCCUUUCCUCCGAUAUGGUGUUGAUGCUCAAAUUGCUCAUCGAACCUUCAGUUGUCUUUUCUCCUGUCAUCUCUGAUUUAAUAUGCAUAAUUCCUCCUGUCACGAACGUAUUGGAAUAUGGGGGAAGGUCAUUGAUUCCCACUUGACCUCUACCCCAUUCAAUCAUGCCAUUCGUCUCUCUUAUUUCCUCACUAGCUCUUCCUUAUUCUGUCUGGCGUCUGGCCUAUACCCCAAACCAAAACGAUCCCACUUGCCAACUAAUCUCAGCACUUUGACCCAUCCAUGAAGAUAUUUUCCAAGUCCCCUUCCAGCCAAUGCUCAUUUUCCUAUCGUUGGUCGUAGGCCCAUCGUCGUGGCUCUUGAUAUUUUUGGCAUUGGGACCUUGCCUCCAUCGGUGAUAAAAGUUGCAUUUAUGAACUCUAACGACUGAAAAGAGCACUCUAUUGCUUCAUCAUCAUUCUCGAUGUACGGCGCAUCACUAGUAACAGAUGCGAUAAUGUCUUCCUCUGCAUUUAUAGUUAUCAGUCGACUUUCCGUCACCAGCUUCAGCUUCUGGUGAAAAGAUUAUGGAUCUACUCCCGUUGAGUAAAUCCAAGGCCUCCCCAGUAAACAAUUAUAAGAAGGCCUAAUGUCCAUCACGAGAAAGCCUACCUCAUAUGUGUUGGGUCCAAUCUGAAGGGGAAUCUCAAUCCCACCCAUUACUUUCCUCUCUGUGCCAUCGAAUGCUCUCACUAUGUUCUGGCAUAUCUUCAUGUGAGAGCUAUCUAUGGGUAACUUGUUCAAUGUAGAUAGGGGUAAGACAUUCAGUACCGACCCAUUGUCAAUUAAUGCCCCCGGUAGUGUAUAUCCUUUGCACCAGGUAGUGAUGUGCAAAGCCUUGGUGGACCCCGUACCACCUGGCGGUAUUUCAUCAUCGCUGAAAGAAAUGAAGUUGUCAGGGCUAAUAUUGCUGACGAGACGGUCCAGCUUGUUCACUGAAAUGUUUUCAGCAACAUAAGUUUCAUUCAACACUUUCAUCAAUGCAUUACGGUGUGCCUCCAAAUUUUUUAGCAAUGCUAGUACCGAGGUGCGAGCUGGCUGCUUGUGUAACUGCUCCACAAUACUAUAUUCACUAUGCUUUAAGAACUUCAGAAAUUUUUUAGCUUUAUCCGUUGUUACUGGUUCAUUAACCAGUGGUUUUGUCCUUCCUUCCCCUUGUUCAAACAUCAGAGACUUCUUUUUUACAAGCUUGGCUUUUGUAUUUGGUGUGCUGGCCAACCUUCCAUCUCCUGGCAAUGUCACAUUACAAUUAUAACUCCAAGGCACCAUUUUGUUAUCCUUAUAAGGAAAAGCUACCGGUUUCUGAAUCACCACUUUUGGCGUCGUUCUUGCUUCAACUUUAUUUAUUCCCGGUCGUGAAAUGAUCACCACUGGGUGAUUGACUUCACAGACCUUCUUUAUUAGCCCCUCCUCUGAGACGCACACAUGUUUCUCUUCAGCGAACUCGAAGAACUCCAUCUCCUUGUUGUCCAUUAGACCCUGUACCAGGGCCUUGAAUUCAUUACAUGUUUCUAUCUCAUGGUCCUCAUCUCCGUGGAACUCAAAAUAGUUCCCUACUUCUCGGGACUUACUCCCAAAGUCUUGUAUGACUAGACCUCUUCCUACCAUCUUCUUCAGAACCUCCCUCAUCGAAGUUCUCACCUCCGCUACAUCCAACUUAACUCUCCUUCUCAUAUUCUCGACUACCACGUUUACCCCAUUAAAAAUAUGAUUGGGUAACGGGUUUUUCGCGUUAGGCAUCUCAUCGAACUUGACAACACCCAAGUUGAUGAGCCUUUCGACCACUCUUUUGAAAGAAGUGCAAUUCUCGAUCAAGUGUCCUGCAACGCCCGCAUGAUAUUCACAUUGGGCACUUGUAUCAUACCAUUUGGGGUAUGGAGGCUGCAACGGUUUUAAGUAGAACGGGGAUACAACAUGUGCAUAGUAGUAAACUAGGGCUUCUCCGUAUUCUGCUUUGUAUUGGGUUCAUGUCUUGACGAAGCUUACUGGCCGGUGACUGUCGUUCUUGGUUGAUUAAUUGUGAUUGGUUUUAUAUGACCCAUGCUCACAUUGCCGACCUUAUUUUCUCUUUUUUUUCGGAGCUGACCUCCUGAUGCUCUCCCCAGCCUCUAUUUUUCCACUCCUUAUCGUAUUCUCAAUCAUUUCACUGGACAUCACUUUGUCAGUGAAACUCUUUGUCGUGCCUCCCAACAUAUGAUUGAUAAAAGGCGCUUUCAAGGUGUUGAUGAAAAGCAUAGUCGUCUCUUUUUCCAAGAGCGGUGGUUGAACUUGGGUAGCGACUUCCCUCCACCUCUGAGCAUACUACCUGAAACUCUCGUUUGGCUUUUUCUCAAUGUUCUGUAGCGUGAUCCGAUCGGGCACUAUGUCCGUCACAUGGCCAUACUGCUUCAUGAAGGCCUGUACUUGGUCUCUCCACGAUUUAAUUUGGGUACGACUCAGCUGAUUGUACCAUUUGGCUGCAGCCCCACUCAGACUAUCCUGGAAACAGUGAACGAGCAACUGAUCAUUAUUGACAUGACCAGUCAUCCUCCGACAAAACAUCGUGAUAUGAAGGCAACUGGUUCCGUUGUAUUGUUCAAACUCCGGCAUUUUGAACUUCGGAGGGAGCACUAGGUCUGGAACCAAACUCAACUCUUUAGCAUCCAUACCACAUUGAUAAUCUGCGCUUUCUAGCGCCUUGAAUUUCUCCUCCAGCCAUUUGUAUCGGACAUUCAGUUGCUUUGGGAGUUCUCCUUUUGUCUUCCCUACCUUUGCCAUCUCAUCAAAGUCGAGGACCGAAAGAUUUACCCCGAUCAUCCUCGGGUUUAGAAUAUGAGCCCGUCAAGAAAUUCAUUGGUACCGAAAUACCGGCCUGAUACUGGGGCUUGACAUUGACAGACACCCUUUGAGGUGGUAUUGGGGUAGUCACUGGAGUGAAACCUGGAGGGUAAGUAAGGAUCUCGCUAUCGCCAUCUAGGUUGACUAUAGGGCUCUUCCCUUUACCUGACCCUCUGAGCAACAACUGAGUUAGCUGAUUCAUCAUGUCCUUCUGCGAUUCUUGCAUCCGAUCUUUCAUAUCCUGCUGAAUCUUAGCCAGUUGCUAUUGCAUCUGCGCUUGCAGCCGCUCCUGCAUUUCUCUCUGCAUUUGUUCCAAUUUUUCCAGCCUUUAAUCCAUAGCUUUAGUUUUUUUGCGCGUGUAGUAUUGAUGUUCCAGGGUAACUAUAAUACGAUUACUUUUAAUCAGGGUUCCUUUUGUGAAGUUUAAUACACAUGAUGUAAUGAAAUGCAAAUGCAUGAGAUGUAUGCAAGACUAAAGAGGUGUCGAUUCUGAUUCAAUUUCAAUUAGAAAACUUUAUUAGAAAAUAAAAAACUUUAUAUAAAAUAGAUCACAUAUACGGCUUGGCCUUAAUGCUUAAAGUUUUAAUUCUCUUAAGGAGACUAGCCAGCUCAAGACCCCGGUCUGACACUAACUCAUACUUCACACUUAAUACAUCAGCUUGAACUGCUAAGGUCUGUAAAUGAUAGACCACUUCUCGGAUCUGAGCCAGGGCUUCACCCAUGAUAUAAUCUCUAUCCUUGACUUGGUCUUGCGAUCGACAGAACUGUUCCUUCCACUGUUCAUUAUUUGUCUCAAGGAAUUCAAUUCAAAAUUCACAGUUCUGUAAUGCAAACUCGAGUUAUUCUACCCUUCCUUCUAAAUCCUUAAUCCUACUCAGGCUUGCCCCUAGCUCAAUGUCAAAUUUACGACCACGAUUUUGAUGCAGCGCCCUUUCUAACUCUGCUACCCAAGCCGUUAACAUCUGCUUCUCAUCUUGGCCCUCAGCCAAACUCUUCUUUAAUACGCUUUCACGUGCCCGAGCAUCAUGGAACCUCUUCUCCUAUUUAUCAGCUCUAGCUUUUUCAACUUGAAUUUCUUGCUGCCACUGCUCUGAUGUCUUUCUCAAUCCACCUGUUCUCAUUGACAUAUGCAGCUUUUUGUAGUCAGUCUUCAAACCGUCUAAGUCAUUUUUGGCCUUCCUUUUCCCUUUCUUAACCUAUCGGCCUCGAGUCUCUGAACAUCGACAUCUAACCUCAAAUACAUCUUUUCCUCCUCUAAUUGUUCUAUCUUUUUCCCUAACUCUAAAUUCCUCUUUUUAAAAUCCUGUUUUAUGAUUUCUAACUCAGAGGAGACUACUUGUAGGUAUUCUUGCAUCGGUCGAGUGCUUUCUUGCCCUGGUCUGGGGAUAUUAUCAUUAACUCUUCUACCCCGGCAACUGUCUUAUUCGAAGGUCAUCAUUGGACCUACAACAACUCUUUUCAUUCGACGAGUCUGGCUCCAAGCGCUAAAAAUCUUUUUAAUCUUUUUCUUGCAGUUAACUCCUACAUACGUGAAUUCAAAUUGAACUAGCCCAUGCGUUGCCAGUAUGAACUGUCUCAAUCUGUAUUGCCUCUGUGUGAGUAAGGGAGCAUAUCCAACAGCUCUCCAAAUUCCAGAUAGAGGUACCCAAUCAAAACUCCCACACCAAUAGAAGAUCUCAUCGGGAACCAACCAAUGAGCUCUCCACUCAACAUCCUCCUCUUGGAGAUUUUGGAAGAGUGCUAUCCAAUUCUCCUUUGAUAUGUCAUCUCUCCUAGGCGUAACCGCUAUCUCCCUUAACGGGGAAUAACUUUCAGAGAAAACCCGAAUAGGAAACUUUAUCCACUUUCCAGAAAUUGCUAUAAAACCAAGCUAACAAUAACUGAGCGCACCCUAUAAAUCUGCCUUCUCCAACUCUCCUGCAUGUAUUCAAAGAUCUAAAUGUCUCAGCCAAGAUUGCCGGAACAGGUGUGACUCCUUUGCCUAAUCGGUCAAAAAGACCCGAGACUGCCUCAUCUACAUGCCCUAAUGCCCUCGGGAAAAUCAUUAAACCAUAGAUGCUCAAAGAAAAAACAUCAACUCUCCUCUUUGCAUCAGGAUGCACUAGAAUCAACUCCAUCAAACUCCUCCAUGGGAUGCACUUACAUUCCCCCUUUUUCUUGACCCUUGUUGCAAUCCACUGCUCACUCAUCCCUGUAUCAUUCAUCAAUUUCUUUACAAAAUGUGAGGCAUUAGCAUCCCUGGAAUAAACUCUAUCGACCUGAACCUUCGGACAAUGAAGUAGAGCUGUAUAUUCUUCUACAGUAGGUACCUUAUCUACCCUCCCAAAGGUAAAACAACUGUAGGCAGGAUUCUAAUACUGAACGAGAGCCCAGCAUAAGUGUUCGUCUACCUUGAUGUCAAGUAAGUAGGGUAAAUCCCCAUAACUACCAUAGAAUAACCUCUUGGUUUCUUCAUCCCGCUGGUCUCAUAUCUCCUUUAAUUCCCAGAGAUCAUUUUGCGUCACACUGAUGCGGGUGUAAUCACAUAAUUCUGAUGUAUACCCCUCGGCAAGACUGUCCCCCUUCUUUAAUUAUGUUUUCUUAGACCAUAUACGAACAACCGCAUUAUCUUCUACUUUAUCAAGAAAUUCGUUCUCCAUAACAAGCUCCCUAAAUUAGUAAUCAAACGUGAAUCGACGCCUCUUAUGAAUGAAAUGACAUGCAAUUAUGGCCAAAAUAAAACAUAACAAGUCAGUAUCGUAUACCAAAUAUAAAAGUCAAAGUAAAUGGAAAGAAAUAAUCAAACACUAGUUUGGGUGAUUGCUAAAGUUUGGAAUGACUCUACCUAGGGUGGACUCUUAAGGCUCGUUAUAUGUGGUUUGGUUCUAAAGAAAAGGGUACCUGAACCAGCAGAUUCCUCGGUCCUCACCCAUUAUAGGUUCAUAUGGGCCGAGUUUAGUUCAGGGGAAUACAUUUCCCUAUGGCUGCACGGAGGUAAAAACCUCACGAAGACAUAGGUACAGAUGUAUCCCGAAAGCGAUCCACUAUCCUGCAUGGAGGUGAAAACCUCACGAAGGAAAUAGUUUUUCACUCCCACUUAAAGGGUACGACCACAACAGUCAUGCAAGAUGAUGCAAGGGGAUAUAAAAACUCAAAGUACAAAACAUGAAUAAAAUGGUGAACCAUAAAACCCACGAAAUGCGAUGAAAGAAUCGUAUGUUAAAAACCAAAUUUUUAAAUUUUGAUAAAAGGACAGAAAAAUGAUCAAUUUUACGGCUUGACUCUCUUAUGUCCCCAGCGGAGUCGCCAAGCUGUCGAAACCAUUUUUAUUUUGAAAAACAGAGGUCGACUUUAAAACGAAAAUGGAGUCGCCACCAAUCCUUUUUGUUUAGGUGUGAUCGGGUCACCUUGUGAUCGAUCAUUUUGAUAAAGCAUUUUGGUUUAUUAAAACAACAUUUUUGGUCUACGAAAAACUAGAAAGCGGAUUCAGGAGUCAGUUACGCGUAAGGAAGGAUUAGCACCCUCGCAACGCCCAAAAUUGGUACCGUAUUAAUCAAUUAACAUCCUAAUGUUGAAAAUUUGAAAAAGAUUUUAAAAUACAAUUCCUUUAAAACAUUUGGAUAACUUGAAUUGGAUAUUGAGAUUCUCUCGCUUAGAAGGAAUAAAAUAUUACGUCCAGCACGAUUGGAUACAAUAUUUUGAACCCUCGACACAAGAUCAUCUCAGGAUUUCCAAAACACAUGCACUUAAAACUUUUAAAAAGGAUAUUUGGCUAUUCGGCCCAAACGAUAAAUCGAAACCCAGCACGAUUGAGAACGAUUUAUCGAAUUUCCAAAUACGAAAUAUUGCCUCAUUUUAAUUCAAGAAAACAUGGAUGAAAUGUCAAAAGGAUAUUCCGUAUCUUAGUCAAAUGAAAAAAAACGAAACCCAACACGAUUGGGCACGAUCUCUCGAACUUCCAAACACGAAAUAUUGUCUUGUUUUAGUUUAAGAAAACAUGGAUGAAAUUUCAAAAAAGGAUAUUCCAUAUUGUAGUCGAAUGAAAAAAACGAAACCCAGCACGAUUGAGCACGAUCUCUCAAAACUCCCCAAAUACGAAAUAUUGCCUCGUUUUAGUUUAAGAAAAAGUGGAUGAAAUUUCAAAAAAAAGGAUUUCCAUAUUUUACUCGAAGGAAAAAAAAAGAAACCCAGCACGAUUGAGCACGAUCUCUCAAACUCCCCAAAUACGAAAUAUUUCCUUAUAUUGAGAGGGUUCUCUUGAAACACGAGUGGUUAUAAAAGCGGUGGAGCAUAUUUAUACGAUUUAUUUGAAAAUAGAAAAAAAAUUAAAUAAACAAUUUGAAACAAACAAUAAAUAUCAUAGCUCACCGUUCAUCGACUAUAGUACAAAGGUACAAAUAUAAAAAUUAAAAUGCAUAAAAACAACAAUAAGCAAACAGGUAAUAUAUAAAUAUUAAUGCAUAAAUAUAAAAUUUAAUAUAAAUGAAUUUCAAAAGAAAUAUUAUGAGCUGAAAUUUAACAUAAAUGUUGUACAAAACAAUUUACAACUAAAAUUAGUAAAAAUGUGACAUUAAAAUGUACAUAAAAAUUGCAACGUAUGCUCAGGUCAAAUUUUAAAACAAAUAAUAUACAUACCAGACAGUAUAAAUAAACUAUUAGUACCAGUAUAAAUCUAUAUAGUAUAAAAUCAAUAAUCAUAAAAAAUAUUUGUUAACAACUUAUAAUGCACAUAAAGUAGAAACUUAAUGAGUAUAAAAUAUAAAAAUAAUGAAUCAUAGUGUUUUUUUUAAAUAUAUAUAUAUGUAGUAAAAUAAGAUUUUUAGAAGAAAUAAAUUGUAUAUAAAAAAAUUUAAAAUAAACAAAUUACAAAAUAAAAUAAUUUUUUAAAAAUGUAAAAUAUUAAAAUAGAUAAAUAAAAAAAAGAGUAAAAGAAUUUUAAAAAAACUAAGAAAGAACUCCAUUGAAACAAAAACAAAAUUCAGAGAAUAGUUUAAAACAAAUCGAAUUAUUAAAAUAAAAUCCAGGACUUGAACUAGAUAAGCACUAACAAGCAAGAACUAAAAAUGCAAAUUCCCCAAGUCCCAACACACUGCAUCUAAACGCGGACUAAACUGGAAUGACACGCAAAUUCUAGGGAUGAAUUUAAAGAAUCUAAGAAAGCAUAAGCAAGGCCCAAUUGAUCACUAGCGCGAAGGGGGGAUUCAAUGCGCAAAUUUCCCAUUUUGGGUCAAACAUGUGAGCCCAGCACCAAAUGGUGCUGUUUUAACCGUAUGUAAAAGCUAAAAAAAAGAAACCCCCCUCCAAAACAACAGCCUUGCAGAUUAUUUUCAAGAAAAUUCAAAACCCUUUUUUAGACUCACCCUCUGCUAGGGUUUCGUCUCUGUUUUGAGAUGCCGCUCACGAGGGUCAUCGGUGCUUCUGCGCCUCCACCUCUGACGCCGAACCACGGGGUAAGGCCAGGUAAGCUUUUCUUCCCCGAUUUUGAUGUAAAAACAGUUUGCAAGGAAAAGAAAGCAAGAAAAAUAAAAAAAAAAGGAAGAAAUGCGAAAUGGAAAAGAAUAAAAAAACAACCUUCUAGGCCUUCAAUCUGAUUUUUUUAUUGAUAUCAAUUACUCUUGUACGUUUUGCUAUUGUGUAUGUCCAAAAAUCGGGAAAAAAAAGAUCCCUUUACACUUGAUCCAAUUUGGCUUUUAUAGCCGACUUUUCAACCUCUUUUGCUUGUUUGCAGGUACGUGCUAGGUGUGGACUCUAACGUGGAGGUAGAGUGGUGCACGACGCGGAGAGUCGCAUGACGUGCGGUGCCUGGGGACUGCCUCGGUUGCAAAUGAUGGCUCCUAGAGUUUUUUGCAAUCUGUUUGUGUUUUGGGCCGUUUGGGCCAUGUUUGUAAAUGGGUACUUAGGUUUAGGUCUGCUCUUGUUGGGUCUUAGUUUCUAGUGGUUUGGGCUGGGUAAAAAUUGAGUCCAACAAUGUCAUUUCAUUUUCAUUUCAAACACUUUACCAUAUUGGCACAUCUAUUCAUUCAACUUACCAUUUCUUCCAUGUUUAACUUUUAGCAUAUCAAAUGUCAUGUUCAAGUUUAAAAUCAUCAAUUAAACCACAUUAAGCAUUAGCUAUUUCAUACAUCAUCUAGUACAUACCAAUUUUUCAACAACUCAAUAUUUGCCACAAAUAUCAAACGUACCAAAUGAUCAACAUAGUGACCAUUUACUUAACAUCUAAUCCCUAUAAACAUGUCAUGAUCCCAAAACUCAAAAUGAUCAAAAAGCUAUCAAAUUAAGGAUAGUGUGAGCUUUGAGGCAAUCCGACUUGAUGUUUUCCACAAAGUAUUGAUCUACAAGGGAAAGGAAAAACAACGAGGUAAGCAUAUAAAAUGCCUAGUAAGUUCAUAUGAAAUUUACAUUACUUACCUUAACAAUUCAACAAGCUAG